UCCCCGAGCUCCUCAACCGGGUCAACGUCCCGCCCCGGCCUCCAGCUCCAGCCACGCCCUUUCCACGGCGGCCCCACAGCGUCCCGGGUGCGGGCUCUCCUCACCUCCGUCGGGCCAACACGCCCAAACCGCUCACCCCGUUCUCAGCUCGGUCGGGCCCAAGGCCCCGCCCCUCCCGCUCCGUUCCCCUCAGCCCAGCCCCAGGCCCCGCCCACCUACUCCUGCGCUAAGUUCUCGCGUGGCCUUUGCCCUCACCCCAAGGGUCGGCUCCCUCGAGCGUCGUCCCUCCACACCUCAGUACCUCCAGGCCGUUUCUAGUAGCCUCGUCCCUCUGGGGGCCGCCCUUCCCUACACCCCCGCUCACCGGCACGGCCCCCCCUUUUCUCUCUAAAGUCUCGAGUCUGAGGGCCCGUUCACGCCUUCUGCUUUCCACCCUGUCCUGGGCGGGGCUCAGCCUGCGACACGGCCCCGCCCACGCCGGCGGCCCCGCCCAUUCCGCCUCACCUGCGCUGGAGCUCCGGCCAACGCCCGCCAGGCGCAGGGCUGUGUGACAACUCCCGUACACCACCGUCCUCACCUCCUCUCCAAGUCAGAUGCAUCUGUCUCAGAGCCCUUGCGCACGGCACUGGGGCUGAGAGCAGCGACCCUACCUGGUAAAGUUGGAGGUCACUGUGCCGUCUAAAUCACGAGGAGAGCGUGGCCUAUUCUGAAUGUCCAGUGCAGGCAGCGCUCCUGGACAAGAUGGUGCCCAGAACCUCUCCUUCUACCCAACAUGGUCAUGGAGGAGGGGUGGAACCAGGAGGGAAAUGGAAGAUGGCCAGACAAGGUAAAGUUGGGGCUUUUGUAAAAAGGCUCUUCUCAGAUGUGGCCUUGGACUAGGAUAUUGUGAGAGUCUCACAGCACAGGUGAUGUCAGGGGCAUCCCUGAAAUCUUCCAAGACCUAAGACCCUCCCAGCCACGUGGUCCCUGCCUCAUGCAGUGUUAUAUUAUUUAUUCCAAGACCCCGAGGCCACAGCUCCAAAGGUGACGGGCCCCAGUAGCCACAGGUGAGGCCACAAAAGGGUUCCUGAAGCCACAUGCCAUGCCCACUGCUCACUGAACACACUGACCGCGAUCUAAGCAGUUUUUUCAUGGACUAGUGAGGGGACCCUCUGAUCACAACCUAAAGCAAAGGGAAAGCAGCAGCCCCCAAAGUUCCUACUGUUUCAAAAUAUACAUUUAGUAGGAGAGGAAAACAGGGUAGAGAGAAAUGGUGGGCACCUGGUGCCAGGCCCGCUGCCUACCUUUGUCAGGGUUAUUCAGCUGGAAGAUAUCGGGGUGCUCGGGGUCAUCAGGAAGCUGUACCAUCCAGCCCACAACGGAGACCUUUUUGCCAGGUGUGGAUUUAUACUGGGGAAGAACAACAGCGUAACCAGGAGGCCCACGCCCUCCAUUCCCCCGCAUCGUCUCCCCCAGGAAGGCUGGGGGGCCCGGCAAGGUUCCUUCCCACCCCUGCCACCUCCCCUGCCUCCCUCCGCCCCUCCUCUGCAGGUCAUACUGCAUGAAGUCCCAGCAUGGAAAGUCCUUUCAUGGGACUUACGUGUUUUCUGUCCGUGCCCCGCAAGGACUUGGCUCCGUAGUACAGGAGGGUGGAUCCCGAGAGGAUGACCCAGUACCUGGUCCACGAGGAAAGCUACAGAGGAAGGGGAGGCAGAGUGACACCCCAGUAAGUAGUGGGGAAGUCCCCCCUCCCUGUCUGAUUACAGACCCAGCCCCGUGGGUGGAAGGGUGCCCCCCCCCCCGCCCCCCGCCUCAAGCCAAUGCCAGUGCUGGCUUCCCCUCCUCACCUCUUCCCUGGCCACUCACCCACUAAUGUCACUUCCACCCAGGGCCUAGAGGAGGGAGACCCUCCUCAUCCGUGCCUCCGAACUCCUCAGCCCUAAGCCCUACCUCCCCUCUCUGGCUCUUUUACUCAGAGAGCCUUUCGUUUCCUAGCUUGUUUAAGGCUUGUUAAGAGCCAAGGCUUAAUUCCUACGUAUUGAGGUAACUUGGGCCCAAGAAUAUCCUGGGGAAAAAUAUUUUUAUUUUUUACUUUUAAAAAAUUUUCAUUUUUUUAAAUGUUUAUUUGCUUUUGAAGGGGGGAGGGGCAGAGAGAGGGAGACAGAGGGUCUGAAGCAGACUCCGCGCUGACAGCAGAGAACACGAUGUGGGGGCUCGAACUCAGAACUGUGAGAUCAUGACCUGAGCUGAAGUCGGACGCUUAACUGAUAGAGCCACCCAGGCGCCCCAGGGAAAAACAUUUUUAAAACCCAGACAUGCUCAGCCAUCGCCCAGCAGAACCACGAUACCCGCACUGGGGUGCUCUGGCUGAGAUGGAAUGCCAAUGCUGUGCUGACCCUCUCGAGGGCAGUACCAACCUAACUCCAGGGCUCUGCCAGCUUCCACUUGCCCUCAUCACAGCCCUGGCUCACCGCACGCUCACUGUGUGCACGGCCAUGCAUGUGACCUUCUUGUCCUCUAGGACACAGACACUAUUUUAUCCCAAUUUACAGAUAUGGGAACUGAGGCCCUUGCCCACUCAGUGGCACAGCCAGGGCUGGAGCCCGGGGCCCUCACCGAUGCCCCAGCCGCCUCCGGAUGGAGGGCUGUCUGCACUUACCGCGGGCUUCCGUCCUUCCUUGAGCAGAGUUUUCCUCCUCAGAGGACCCUCCAUGGUGGGCACGGCGGCUGAGCUCCCCAGCGUACAGAUGCACGGGCCCGUGGGGCUGAGGGGAGACCACCAGUCAGAUGCCGCCCUGCAGGAGCUGGGGUCAGGCACCCUCUCCCUCCCACGUCCCCACUGCAGAGUCCCUGAUCCUGUGCCAGGCCAGAAACUCAACGCUGUCGAGAAAAGGCCAGGGAGGGGCCCCUGAGGCCGAGGGCAGCUUGAAGGAAGAGGGGCCAGGGCGGCCACAGCCGCAAACUUUCACCUCCCUCGUCUUUCUGAGCCUGCAAGGCCCGAGGCUUGGUGACCGAGCUCCCUAUAACCCAGGCCCCAGCAGCACCCGCCACCCUGUCCUGAGCUCUGCGGUGGCUUCCUCCUGCCUUGCCCCUGUGCUCCCACCUUUCUCUGGGGCCUAUGCAGCCCCUCCUUGUGUGGGCAGGAGCCUGGAGGAGCAGUGGGGGAGGUGGGGGUGGAGUGAGGAGCGGGGAGGAGGACAGCUGACCAGCCCUGCACCUUUGCCUCAGGGCUCCCUUCUCCCCCAGGGCCGCAGGGUUUCAGGCGCCACCUACAGGUGAAGGCCGCCAAGUGCAGCUCUGGCCGGGACCUGUCCCCUGGGCUUCACACUCUGGCUUCACUCACUGGGCAGGCGCCUCCCAUGGGCAUCUCCCUCAACUUGGCGCCUUUCCUCAAGCUGCUUUUUCUCCACGUGCGUGUGAAUGGCACCGCCGUCCACCUGGCGGCUUGAACCAGGGACCUGGGGUGUUUCUCCACUUUCCCCUCCACCGCUGCAAUCUACUGAAUCCCAAGGAUGCCCUGAUCCCAAGUCCUACAUAUGCCUGACUACCCCUCUCAGUCACCCUGCCCGCCCCCCCACCUUAGGCCAACUUGGCUCUUCCUUUGGACAACUGCCCGAUGCUCUGCCCCGGCCUCCCUGCGGCCCCUCCUGCCUUCCUCCUGCACCCUCUCCAGCUCUCCAUGCCUCUGGCCAGGAUGACCUGGUCAUGCCACAGUCUGUCACCUCCCCCCAACCCUGCUCGGUCCCACCUCUCCAACCUCAUCUCCACCCCUCCCCCUCUCAUUUCUGACAACACUGACUCUCCUUCAUUUGCUUCGGCUUGGGGCACUCUUAUUAUCGCUACACCUCCCCUCCCUGUAUUUGCUUAAUUCCUAUCACUCUUCCAGUCGUUUCUCCAGAGAGCCCUUCCUUGCUCCAUCCCACCUCCACUCUGGGACCAUCAGUCAUCCGGGAUUAUCCGUUAGGCCUGUUUCUCCUGUGGCAGCGGCCUCCUGGGCCAAGGCAGAGGCCACGUCUGUCCCAUGAGCAACCUCUAGCACAGUGUGUGGCCUCCAAAGAGCAGCCUAGAGCUGUUCGUCAAAUAACUGAACACACCAAUCAAUGAAUACCUGUAGACGCAGCUCCGGGUCCGGGGAGAAUUCCGAACUGGAACGCGCCAGUUGGGCCCCAGGGUGGCAUAGAGACGUCCCCUGCUUCACAGGAAAAGGGUGGACUUUUAGCAACAGCCCGGAACAACCAGAUACUCUGAGGAAGCGAGGGUAUCUCGGACCCUGCGGUCAUUAGCUCGGGAAGCUUCAACCUCAACUCUUCCCACACCUCCUCCGUCAUGCUACAGGCACAUCUGGGG